rfam:Danio rerio chromosome 4, GRCz11 reference primary assembly.
GCCCGGCUAGCUCAUUCGGUAGAGUAUGAGACUCUUAAUGUCAGGGUCAUGGGUUCGAGCCCCACGUUGGGCG